GAGCACAUGGCGCGCCUUUCGUCCAUGAACAAGGCCUACAAGUCCUUCAUCGGGAUGGGGUACUACAACACCCAUAUCCCGGCGGUCAUCCUGCGCAACCUCAUGGAGAACCCCGCGUGGUACACCCAGUACACGCCCUACCAGGCGGAGAUCGCGCAGGGCCGUCUCGAGUCGCUGCUCAAUUACCAGACCAUGGUCGCCGACCUCACCGGCCUGCCCAUGUCCAACGCCUCUCUGCUUGACGAGGCCACCGCCGCCGCCGAGGCCAUGGCCAUGUGCAAUGGAAUCCUAAAGUCCAAGAAGAAGACCUUCCUCAUCGCGUCCAACUGCCACCCGCAGACCAUCGACAUCUGCCAGACGCGCGCCGCCGGGUUCGACCUCAACGUCGUAGUCUCGGCCGCCAAGGACUUCGACUACAGCAGCGGCGACGUAUGCGGCGUGCUUGUGCAGUACCCAGGCACGGAAGGGGAGGUGCUGGAUUAUGCGGAGUUCGUCAAGGACGCGCACGCGCACGGCGUCAAGGUGGUGAUGGCUACCGACCUGCUCGCGCUCACCACGCUGCGCCCCCCUGGCGAAAUUGGGGCCGAUAUCGCCGUGGGCUCCGCGCAACGCUUCGGCGUGCCGAUGGGGUACGGCGGCCCACACGCUGCAUUCCUCGCCACUUCUCAGGAGUACAAGCGUCUGAUGCCAGGCCGCAUCAUCGGGGUGAGCGUCGACUCCAGCGGCAAGCCCGCGCUCCGCAUGGCGAUGCAGACCAGGGAGCAGCACAUCCGGCGCGACAAGGCCACCAGCAACAUCUGCACCGCUCAGGUACGCACGCACUCCACCCACUCACCAAAUUGCCUAACAGUGACAUCCACAGUAAUAUUGCCUUUUUUAUUCAGCAAAAGGUAUAUUUUUCGACGAAAUAUUUUUUUAUUUAGCAAAAGGUAUAUUGCCACAAGUAGUGAUGAAGAUACUUUGUGAUCAACUUUAUAGGCCUUGCUCGCCAACAUGGCGGCGAUGUAUGCCGUGUACCAUGGUCCUGCGGGGCUGAAAGCUAUUGCUGACCGUGUCCAUGGCCUGGCUGGUACUUUCGCCCACGGGUUGAAGAAACUUGGAACAGUGACAGUGCAGGAGCUACCAUACUUUGACACUGUCAAGGUCACUUGCGCUGAUGCGAAUGCCAUUGCUGAGGAGGCUCGCAAAAACGAGAUGAACCUUCGCGUAGUUGACGCAAACACGGUUCGUUUUCCUUGAUGUUGUCUGUUUGAGUACAACAAGGUAGUCGACCUCUGAGUUUUGAGCAUUAACUUCAAGUUGUGAUGUUAUAGAUUACUGUUGCCUUCGAUGAGACCACCACCUUGGAGGAUGUUGACAAGCUGUUCAAGGUGUUCUCUGGUGGCAAGCCAGUAAGUGGUCAUUCCAUCAGUGCAAAAUAUGUGUUUCUGAUGUGAAAUUAUAACACAUGCUAAAUGAUUUUCCACCACAAACACUUUCAGGUGGACUUCACAGCUGAAUCCAUUGCACCUGAGGUCUCAAGCUCAAUUCCUAGUAGCCUUGUGCGCAACAGCCCCUACCUAACUCACCCAAUCUUUAGCAUGUACGUGUGGUGCCAAACUUUGCAUCUUUGCUUCAUUAAUUUUAUUUUAUUUUCCAAACGAGGGCACUGCACAUAGAGCACGAGCUUCACUACUUUGGUAGUGUGUAUGAAAUAAAUUCAAAUUAUCUUGUCUGGCCUUGCAGGUACCACACAGAGCAUGAGCUUCUUCGGUACCUGCACAAGUUGCAAUCCAAGGAUCUCUCACUGUGCCACAGUAUGAUCCCUCUUGGUUCUUGCACCAUGAAACUAAACGCUACUGUUGAGAUGAUGCCUGUCACUGAUCCCAACUUCGCAAACAUGCACCCAUUUGCCCCUAUUGACCAGGCUGCAGGCUAUCAUGUAAGGAUCAUUCACUAUUUGUUUGGUUUCUAAUGGCAAACUAUCCUAAUAAGACUAUCUAGAAGUUCUGAAAUGACUUGUUUUGUGGUGCAGGAAAUGUUUGAUAACUUGGGCGAGCUGUUGAACACGAUCACCGGUUUCGAUUCUUUCUCUUUGCAACCAAAUGCUGGUGCUUCAGGAGAGUAUGCUGGGCUGAUGGUUAUUCGUGCUUACCACAGGGUAUGUUAUGAUAAAUAUAUUGCGCUAGUCCUCUUGCUGCUCAUCCAGCCGUUACAGAGUCUUUUUCCUUAGUUCAUUCGUUGCUCACAAACCAUGUAAAAAAUGCAGUCAAGAGGAGACCACCACCGAAAUGUCUGCAUCAUUCCUGUCUCGGCGCAUGGUACAAAUCCUGCAAGUGCUGCUAUGUGUGGAAUGAAAAUUGUUGCUGUUGGAACUGAUUCCAAAGGUAACAUUAACAUUGAGGAGUUGAGGAAAGCUGCUGAAGCAAAUAAGGACAACUUGUCUGCUCUGAUGGUACUUCUUCUAUGCUCUGUUAAUAUGAGAAGUUAUCAUGGCUUUUGAACAAACUUUUACUCUUUCAGGUUAAAUUUUAUUGCUAAAUUUUGAUCUGGAGUUCUGAUGCUAUACUAUCACUGCAUGGCCUUAUCGUUAUAUUAAGUGUGAUAGGGCAAAUUAAGAGUUUUAUGUUAUUGCAGCUUGUAAUACAUUACUAUAUAAUUAAAACGAGGUGAAAGGAACCACCACUUUGCUCUCAGGGCUAGCAAUUCCCACAUUAAUGAGAAGAAAAAGAGGAAAAUAUAUACCUCCUCUUUCUGGUGGUUCCAGAUUUUUCUAUGGUGCGGAAUAAUUAAUUAGAUGGAAGUAUAUUAUAGUAUCUACCUGUGCAUGGAAACUCGAGUAGUAUAUGUUAAGAUAGAAAUCAGACAGCUGCUUCAUAGCACUUCCCUCUAAUGGUUCCUGGUCAUAUAUUUGAAUCAAUCAACAAUUCAACAUAUAAUGGAAGCAUAUGUCCAGAUACUUUAUUUUUUGUACUGAAACUUAUAAAGCUAGAGACGUAAUUGGAGACGUGAAACGCAUGUGUCAACUAUAUAUGCAUAGAAACUAAGAAAUUGCAGCCUGAAAAGGUAUAAACAUUUUAGUCAUACUUAGGAUCAUGAAAACUUAGAUAAACAUGCACGAAACAUUCAGUCAAAACAUGUAUAUCAUAGUAUGAUCUGCGGGUGUUUUGAGAGGAAAGCACAAGGCAAGGAUUAGGGCCACUAAUUAAUUAGUCAUUAUUAGGGAGUAACUGUAUGUCAAGGUUCCAACUGAAAUUCUCAGCCUGUGGAUCUGAUUUUCUUGGAUUGACAAGAUUGAUUGGGUCACAUCCAACUCGUACUCCUUAUAUAGGUAUGGAGAUAUGGUGCACGAAUAGAGUAACUGAUUUCGAAUCAUGGAAAAUGUUGAGUUCACUGAGGAUGAUUGUUUAUUACUUAUUUAGAGAAACAUUUGUGUUAUAUUUGCUUUGUGUCAAGAAUAACAUUAUGGCACGACUAUGUUAUUGUUCAGGUUACCUAUCCUUCAACCCAUGGAGUCUAUGAAGAAGGCAUUGAUGAGAUAUGCAGGAUCAUUCAUGAGAACGGCGGGCAGGUCUAUAUGGAUGGAGCUAACAUGAAUGCUCAGGUUAGUUCUUUGCACUUUGUUGUACCACCUUGUCUAUUUGUUCUUUCUGCAAUUGCUCCCUUAAAGUGCCUAAUACGAAUGGAUUGGAACACUUCAUGCUGGUCCUCAGACUGUAUAGAUAUCUUUCCAACAUAUGAUGAAGUUUAAUCCAAAACAAAUUGUGAACUACAAAUCCUUCUACUCCCUCCCAUCUGAUUUAAUUGUCACGGGUUUAGGCAAAACUUUGCCUAAACCUGCAACAAUUAAAUUGGAUCGCAGGGAGUAUUAAAUUUGUUUUACCUAAUUUUUUAUUUGUUUGUUAUCUUUUUAAAAAAUGGUGAUGACUAUGCAUGCCAAGCUAUGUUUUAUGUACUCCUUCUGAUCCAUAAUAAGUGUCAGGAAUUUAGUACAAAGUUACUUUGUACUAAAUCCCCGGCACUUAUUAUGGAUCAGAGGGAGUAAGAAAAUAUUAACUUUGUACUAAAUCCCCGGCACUUAUUAUGGAUCGGAGGGAGUAAGAAAAUAUCUAAUCAAGUUCGCCUGAACCUAGUUGAGUAAUUGCGAUUUGGAAAUUUCAGAUCCCAUAUUAGUUAUGAUACUGAGAAAAAUAAUAUAGUUUUUUUCUUGAAUCCGUAUGUGUCAUUUUCAUUACUAGACAAAAAUCGCAAAGAUGGCGAGAGGUCUUACAAGCGAACAAAAAACAAAUAAUCCACUGUAACAUACAAACGUUGUCUUAUUACAGGUUGGGUUGACAAGCCCUGGUUUUAUUGGAGCAGAUGUUUGCCAUUUAAACCUUCACAAGACAUUUUGUAUUCCUCAUGGUGGAGGUGGUCCUGGCAUGGGUCCUAUUGGUGUUAAGAAGCACUUGGCACCAUUUUUACCAUCUCAUCCAGUGGUAGGUGUCCUGACUUAUUUUAUCAGUCCAAUCAAAUCACAUUAUUCAGAUUUGUAUCCUAACAAUAUAGUAAAACCCAUUGUUCAAUACUUAACUUGAAGAGAUUGAUAUUCGAAAGUUUGUUGUCUCUUCCUUUCCUGUCCCUUUGCGACCUUUAAAUAUUAAGUAAGUGUGUGAUGAUGAUUGGUUAUGAGCUAACUACUCAGGCUAUGCUUUAGAUGCUGAUUACUAUAACCAAAAGUGUCAAUCAUUUCUUUGCUUGGCUUAUGCUGUUUAAUUCACAAGCGAAUGCAAAGCCAAUAUCAGACUAAUUCUGUAAUCAAUAGAUACCUACUGGUGGCUUUCCUCUGCCCGAGAAAACCGACCCUCUUGGUUCCAUUUCUGCUGCUCCAUGGGGAUCUGCUUUGAUUCUUCCAAUUUCCUACACAUACAUAGCCAUGAUGGGCUCUCAAGGACUCACUGAAGCUUCAAAGAUUGCGAUCUUGAAUGCAAACUACAUGGCAAAGCGUCUGGAGGUACUUGAUGUUGCACAUGCCAACAAACCCUCUGCUACAAUUUUUGGUUAUGGUUGAACUACUUUCUAAAUCCUACAUUAUAAUGAAUUUUGCAGAAGCACUACCCGGUUCUUUUCCGUGGAGUCAAUGGAACUGUUGCCCAUGAAUUCAUUAUUGACUUAAGAGGGUUUAAGGUACUUAUCCGAACCAUGUUAGCACUUGAACCAUGCAUAGUUGUAGGCCAUUUCAAUUCUCUAACUGGAUCUUGGAAAUCUUGACAGGCAACUGCUGGUAUAGAGCCUGAGGAUGUGGCAAAGCGCUUGAUGGACUAUGGAUUCCACGGACCAACCAUGUCAUGGCCUGUUCCAGGCACACUUAUGAUUGAACCCACUGAAAGCGAAAGCAAGGUAAAUAUGUCUAUAUCUGUUGAUUGCCAUUGCAACAACAAUUGGUUUUUACAUUAGCUUACUGCUACACAACAUGCAGGCUGAACUAGACAGGUUCUGUGAUGCCCUUAUCUCAAUCAGGGAAGAAAUUGCAGAGGUAGAAAAUGGCAAAGCAGAUGCGCACAACAAUGUCCUGAAGGUAAUGUACUCCAAAUAGUCACAGUAAAUUACUAAAACCUUUACAUAUCCACCCACAGUCUACAAGUUGAAUAGAUCUUGCUAAAUCCUAAACCUUCUUUUUAAAUGCCGUCUGCAACUUACGAGAUGGUAGCGCAUGAACAGUGGAGUUGAGGUGCUUGCCUGUUUUUUUACGCAGGGCGCUCCUCACCCACCCCAACUCCUGAUGAGCGAUGCAUGGACUAAGCCGUACUCUAGGGAGUACGCCGCGUUCCCUGCGGCUUGGCUUCGGGGCGCCAAGUUCUGGCCAACAACAUGUACUGAUAGCUCAAAAAUCCUUCUCGUUACUUUUUUUUUUGGCAUAUAAGCUAAGUACCUGCGUUCUGCUCUUGGCAGGUCGUGUGGACAACGUGUACGGGGACCGCAACCUUAUCUGCACUCUGCAGCAGGCGUCCCAAGUGACAGAAGAAGCUGCAGCUGCAGCUGCUACCGCGUAAUCUUUCAGAUGAUGACGAUCCAGGGUUGUGAAACAGUGUCAAGAAGUUAUAAUGCUUCCUGUAGGAUGGAGGCGUGCUUGCUUCUCAAAUCUCUCAUGUACUGUAUAUAUUUUCCUCAGAUGCCACCAUCUCAUGUAUCUCUGUACUCCAUUGCCUCCCCCCAUUCCCAUUUAAAGUGAAAUUAGCUGUAUUGGCUAGCAUUUAUACUCCUCUCUCAAUACAAGAAAAAUAAUUGAGAUCUGUUUAUGCUCCUAGCCGUACAUAUAUAAGGAAGGAAAAUUAAUUAUUUUGACGAUGUAUCUGGUGCAAACCUUUAUUCCGUGUAAGUUUGCAACCUAUCUGGAUGGACCAUCGGAUCUGAUGAGAAUCGCACAAUCUAUACAACCGUAGACCGUAGACAACUCUUGAGAACCUCGUAUUUAACGCUAGUUCUUCGAUUUGGAAGGCUAAGUUCAGAAAGCCAGGAAUAAAAGUAAUAAGGGAAAAAAGCAAGGAAAACGAAUCCAUCACCUAACCGAUCCACUGAUCGGAUCGGCUAGGUGUGUUCGGACAGUUCGCCCUACGCUCUCCCGUCUUCCUCCGUUCAAUACUCUCUCACUUGUUUAUUCAAUUGCGCCUUGCCUUUUGUUCUCACCACUCUUCAUCUUGUCCUCAUCCAGCUCUUUACUUGAGACUUUCUUCCACCGUCAUAUGUUCUAACUACAUUUUACUCAUUACAUAAUUUAAAAGACAUGCAAAAUUAAUUCAUAUAUAUAUAUAUAUACUCCUUCCGAUAUAUAAUAAGUGUAUUGAAGGAGCAAAUAAAGGAGCGUACUCCCAAUUAAAUUUAUGCAACUAAAGCUACCAAGGUUCAAACAGCAUGGCACAAAAAAAGGAGCAGAAGUUCAAAAACAAGACUGAACAUCAAAGCUCAAGCCUCAACAGCACUCAGUUAUCAAGCGAAACUACUUAAGGUAUGAACAGACAGAAGUUCAUCCAACUCCAAUCCUCUUGGUCACUGGCUGCCAUCGAAAACGAGCACGAAAUUCCUCGUGAAAAAAAAACAAGCAUGAAAUUCCUCAGUCGCCGCUUCAAAAAAUAACACGUCGCGUAGCAUAUAAUUUUUUUCAGAGAAGAGAAAAACCCCAAUUGGAUUAAGUGUGAUUUUUGACAAACACAAAAUAUGACAAAAGUUACACAAUUCAAACUGCAUUCUCAUCGGCCUCACCAAGCAACUAACGAACAAAAAGCGGCAGCGAAGACUCGCGCGCGCGGUGCCUGACGUGCGCCUACCAUUUGUGCCCAUCCAGUACAGCCCAGCCGAGGGCUCCAGGCCUCCAGGUCCAGGUGCACGCACCUCCCCUGUCCCCUGUUCUCUCCCUCUCUCUCCACUUUCCUCUUUAACUGCGCCUCCCCAGCUUGUGCUACUCCCCCAAGCGAAGCGAGGCACUCACUUCCUCAAUCCUCAUUCACGCUUGGCCCGUACGGCAAGAGGCGACGCGGCGCCCAAUCUAGUUAACCCCCCGCGGCCACCGGAUCGGGGAGGACCCUGCCUUCCCCUGGCGAUUCUCCUGUGAGCUCCCUUCUCAAUCUAUUGUCUCUUCUUUUGUUCGAUUGAUUCGUAGUGUGCUUGUAUUUUAGGGCCAUUUUAGGAGCUAUGAUGCCUUUUCCCCCUUUGCCAACUGAAACGGGAAACCGCUACUAGAUUUUGAAACAACAGUUACUGUCUUGUGAUUCACCCUGCUUCAGCAUCCUGUGAAAUGAAAUGUGUGCUUUAGAACAUGCCAAGGAAGAUUUUCUACAGUUGGAUUGGACGUCGGUCUGAUAUUUAGCAUCACUGCAUCAGAUGUAGUUGUAGAAAUCGCUUUACUAGUUCAUACAGCUAGGCGCAAAAUCGGUAGUAAGCUCAUCGCUACGGCUCGAGCAACUCCCUACAAUCUGUGCAUUUCAUCAAUCGAUGGCAGCCAGUGGAUUUGGGAUGGAGAGAGGAUGCGUGGCUUCUGGACACUAAAUGUACUCUUGUUUCAACCAUUUCUACCAGUUCCUUGGUAUUCCUUGCCAACCUGAUCUUAUGUUGUUCAAACGCCUCAUCCCCCUAUAUUGCCAUAUGGAUUUACAAUGAUGCUCAAGUGCUUUAUGUGUUUCAUCAUAACUGUCCUCAGCUCACCAUGCGCAUAGACCAAGUAAGAACUAAUCUAAUAAAAGUUACGUAGAAAGGACUUUGCCCUUGUCAAAUGGCAUCCUUCAUCGAGGUGGAACCAUUGCAGUAUUGGUUUCCUCAACGAACAGUUCUUGUAAGCGACAACAGCUACAGGGAAACGGGGGAAGUAGUGAACUGGAACUAAUUAUAAUUCUUCAUCCUUUUUUCCCCAAAGCAGGGGGCCUAAUUUUAUUGCCUCUUUCUUUUCAGCCAAGGUCAACAGUCAAGAGAUGGAAAUUAGCCACAUUUGAUUUUGCAUAAGUUCAGGGAGCACUAGGUGUUAACGGAAGUAUUUUCCUCGAUGGAGGUUGAAGCAGAUUUUGAUGUUGAAGAUUCCAGAUCAAACAAUGAACUGCAGGAGUUGUGUCCAGUUGGCGAGAUAGAUCCUAGGAGAGGAAGAUUCCCUUAUUGCAUUGUCUGGACUCCUCUUCCUGUAGUUUCAUGGCUUGCUCCUUAUAUAGGGCAUGUUGGAAUCUGCCAGGAGGAUGGAUCUGUCCUGGAUUUUGCUGGUUCAAAUUUAGUGAGCAUGGAUAAUUUCGCGUAUGGUUCGGUUGCCAGAUACCUUCAACUUGACAGAAAUAAGGUAUAUGAGAUUUCAAAUUUUUUAUUUUCCUCUAAGGAAAAAAAAUAUUAUUAACUCAAAUUUCGUUGGCCUCUUAUGCUUUAUUAAUCUUUAUUGAACUGCUUCUAAGAUUUCUCAUAUUUACUUUCUUAGUGGAAAAUGUCUACUAGCCUCCUGUGGGACAUGCUUCCCUGUUGACAUAUUUACUUGCAAUAUUUAUUUUCACAUGUAGUUCCUGUAAGGUGCAAGAUACAAGCCCUCUUCCUUCAUGAAAGAAUGUUUCGUGAUUUAUCAUUCUUUAAACAGUAAAAAAUUACAAUUUAAUACCUAGACUUAGUAUCAUUUAAACAGUGAAACAUUUGGGCUGGGGACACUGAACCUGAGACUCCAGCAAGCUAUCACAGACAGAGCAUGGCUGGAGUGAUUUUUUUCGAGAACUUAUGGUUGUAAGCAUUGAGAAUCUUAUCAUCAUUUCCAGGUUCUUUUAGUAACAGUGUUAUUUAUACAGAGUUAGUGCAACAUCACGCAGAUUAUCUUCCUGCUGAUUCGCAGAUUCCCUUUUUGGCAGAUUCCCUUAAGUUGCAAAUAUUGUUCAAUAAUCUUGUUAAGUAUCAAUCCUUAUUUUUGCAAAACCUACUUGUGUUGUCAUUUUUAUUUCUGUGCUUUCCUUUCGAAUAGACAAUUUCUCGUUGACGUACUCUUGUUUUGUUCAUCACCAGUGCUGCUUUCCUGCUAAUCUCAUGGCACAUGUAUGCAAGUGGUCCUACAAGCACGCAGAAGUUGGAACAGCAACUUCAUGGGAUGCUGCCCUACAACUGGGGACGAGAAAUUUCCAGCACAAGUACUACAAUCUGUUCACCUGCAAUUGCUACUCAUUUGUGGCAAACUGCCUGAACCGGCUUGCCUACAGCGGAUACGUGGAGUGGAAUGUUUUGAACGUGGCCGCUCUUGUUUGGCUGCACGGCGAAUGGGUGGACAACAUGUCUAUCGUUCGAUCAUUCUCUCCGUUCCUAAUUGUGACAUGCAUCGGUGUUUUUAUGGCUGGCUGGUCUUUCUUAAUCGGGACAGUAGCAUUCUCUUCUCUUCUGAUUGGGUGGUUUGUCUUUGCUGUAUACUGCUCAAAAGGUUUGGUGCGCUGAUUAAUUUAUAACAUUACGGCUGAACCCUGUGAGUUGUUGAAGUAAUCUGUUCGUGGCCAUUUUCAUUCUCAUGAUUAUUCAGUUGAAUUGAAACUCAUUGAAAGAAUUCACCUGCUACAUCUGGAUUAUAGGGCCCAAACCAAAGGUGAGGCCACAUCACCAUUGUCAACUCCUAUCUGUCGAUGGUGCGAAUGAUCUAUUGGUUGAGAAUGAUUCUCUGGUUUAGCACCCGGUUGUGCGCAUAGAACGUGUUGCUCUAGAUGCGCACGCUGUUGGACUUAGGCAUGGUGAGGUGAUGAGACUAGAUCAGGUUUUGUCUCGUAAUUUACGCUGGGUCCAAUAGUCCGUUUUUCUUUUUUCUCUCUCUAUUCUUCCCAACCUGUGCAGAGACAAUAUAUUUUUCUCCCGCCGUUACGAAUGUAAAGCGUAUUUUGGCUGUCAAGUAAGAAGUAUAAAUUUUUCACCUAAUCAACUAUGCAAAUCUCAGUACAAAAAUAUAUUUAUUUAAGCUAUUUGCUUUCUGGAGAAGACAAUAUACAUCGGAUCUGUUUGUCCUGGAUUUGGGGAUAUAUCAACAGCCUGUGAAGACAGAAAAGAUAAUGUUCGUGUUAUGGGGCUUAUCUGAAAAAUCAAAGAACUAUAUACCAUGCUUUAACUAUCAAUGAAUAUGCAAAUUUUGGGAUGAUGUUCAAACUUCAAUCCUUGGUAUAAACAAGAUGGCAGGCUUUAUUUAUUAUUCCAUUAUUAUUUGACUCUGGAUACAAGAAUAGACAAAUGGCAUACCUUGGGGGGCUCAAAACCUCCAGCGUAAUGGAAAUAAGCACCAACUAUCCAAGCAUGAUCAGCAUCGCCAGUUGAUGUCCAAAUAGAUAUAGCUUUGGUCCAAAAGCAGCGAUUCGAAAAACUAUAUCCAGAGUUAAAACUAAGUGCUUAGAGCCAAUUAUCAUCAAACAAAACUGGUAUCCAAAAACUAGUUCUGGUUAAAUGACAUACACCAUGGUAGUAAUGCUAGUUCCUACCUCAUGAUAGCUAACCCAGAUGGUUUAAGUACCCGUCGCAUCUCCUUGAAAAUAUCCAUUGGUUUUGUCAAGUAGUCUACACUAACCUGAAAGCAAAAAACAAGUUGUUAUCAAACUGUCCAUGCAGUUAGAUACAUAACCAAAAGAUACUUACUUAAAUAGGACCGGAUUCAUAAUAAGAUGACUGUACCACGUUGGUUAUAACAUCAAAAGUGUUGUCAUCAAAAGGAAGCUUUGGAUUCAGAUUGAGGUCUUGCACAACAUAUUCUGUCAAAACCUAUUAUCACAACAGAACAACCAAGAUUUAUUGUAAGAACAUAGGAUUUGUAAGAAUAAGAACUGGUGCAUGUUGCAAGACAUGUUAAUACUAGUACAAAGUCAUUUAUUGUAAGAAGUAUUUAGAAUUCUUUGCCCUGACCACAUUGUAGAGCAACCAAUGAAACUCAAUGUUACUGAAUUAUUUAACAACAAUAACAGCUGUCAAGGCUUUGAAGGAAAUGAAGAUAGUAGAUAGUAUCCAAUCGUUCGCUAUUUAUCCAGUUAGAGACAAAGACAGUUGAAGGUGCAUAGCUCUUAUUUUCCUCCUAUAUAUAAACAGCACGGAAGGUUUCAUUUUCUGAAGAAUUGUUUGUUUUGUAGCAAUACAGAUAGUGAAUACUACCGCAAACAGUCUCAGGUGAAUCAAAAUACAGCAUAACUCACCAAACGAGUCAAUUAUUGCUCAAUCCGUAAUGCUGGAUUGCUGCUAUCAGCUUAUCACUGAAAAAAUUUAGCAGAUCGGAUGUAAAAAAUAACACUAAUUUAGUAGGCAUGCAGUAGCAUAUCCUUUUUCAGCUCAUCUUCAUUGAUGUCCAAAUGAAUUAAGUGUGGUUCAUUUCAUAAUGGUUGCAACCAAAUGUACAUACAAAACGACAGUGAUUUAGUUAGCGUGAGGUACCGUAUUCUUUUUCAGCUCGUCUUCAUUCAUACCCAUCCCUACAACCUUCUCUUGCUUGUACCCGGGUGGAUAAUGGCUCACCUACAUAAGGUGGAGACCGUAAGGAACUUCGGAAGAAGACAUCAAGAAGAGAGUGGUAUCUUGUGAAAACAAAACCCCUACCCAGCUACUGCACAUGUCCAGGAUGGCCACGGCUGGAGUGUUGCUUGGAGGAAGAACUUGCGAGUAGUAUUUCGUGAGAGCCCUGAUUGCUUGGUCAUCAAUGUGCGUGACAAAACGGGGAGCAGAGUAGAACAGAGUAUCUGAUGACCUGCCAAGCAACCAGAAUGCAUCAGAAUACAUCAUCAGCGCACCAGGCUUUUUUUUUUUUUUGCGGGGCCAGAUACUUACUCGUCGAAGCGGCUGAAGUCCUCGGGCUUGAAAGGGAACUCGUCUGGCCACUCCACAUUCUUCAAUAUCUACAGACCGGCGCCAGUAAUUAGCUUCAGAAGGCGCAAUUUAAACGCAAUGCCUCGCCGCGGGUGCCGGCGUGCCGUGCCGCGUCCUAUGGCACUAGGAUGAAGGCAUGAAGCAAGGAACGUACUGUACAUGUGACGCAUACGAACCUGUUCGACCGGAGAAACCCCCUGCUUUGGCCACGCCGCGGCCACGAACGAGCGGGACGGGACGCCGCCGGAGGCCAUACGUGCGAGCUGGUCGACGAAGGCAACGCCGAGGCCGAGGAAGACGCGCCGCGGCCGCGCGGCCUUCAGUGGCAAGGGAGUGCGGCAGACACGUGGGGCGGCGGCGGCGGCACGGGUGCGAAGCGUUCUAGGGCGAGACCGUUUCAGAGCGACGAGGAGGAGGUCAGGGCGUGUCGCGAGGGUGGCCAUGGAGACGACGGGCAGACACGGCGGCGGUUAGGAGGGGAACGCGACGCCAUGUGUUAUGGUUGGGGGCGCGCGAGAGAGGGCGUCGUGGCGCCACGCGCGUCGCAGAGGAUUGGGAUUUCGUUUUUGCUGCCCUUUGGCUGCUAUCUGCUGCCAUGUGGCCAUGUGGCCAUGUGGGUCCUGUUUUGUCUGCUUGAGCCUUUCCAGUUUCCAAACAUAUUCCCAUGAUCCAAUGUCUUUUCAAAACUCAACGGAACAGAGGGCUUGUGUUUGAGCUCCAAUUCUAUAUGGCAUCUCGCAAUUCCCAUCUUUUUUUUUUUGAAACGGACGCAAUUCCCAUCUUGGUACUAAGGAGAAUGAACAAUAGGGCAGUAGUGGAGGAUGAAGUUCAGAGGAGAAGCAAUGCAUGGGGAUGAAUGGUUGGAAAGAGGAGCACUGAGAAAGGAAUUUCUUUCUCACUGUUCCUCCGGCAUUCCUUUCUCACUGUUCCUUCUCUUUCCAACCACUCUGAAAAAAUCGUUAUAAAAAUGUGGUGCAGGCUCGCUUCGAAAUAGAAACGGCUGAUACGAGAUAAUGGAGAGAAAGAGAGAUCCGUGGACAUAUGAUUGCUGGAAAAUCAAGUUUGUGGGCCCAUCCACUUAGGUUGCUUCAGUGGAGCGUCCCAUUUUUCUCCGAUCGCUCCAUAGAUAAGAACCACUUACUCCCUCUGAAUCAUAAUAAUGUAAGUGUCGUAUUAGUUCUCAGAAACAGAUACCGAAAAAAAAAAUCUCAGAAACAGAGUUGCAUCGAAUACGUGCUCUCGCGAAAUGCACGAACUUGCCAAUUUAAUCAAGAUUGAAACUACGGCGCGUAAUUGCGGAUGCACGUCAUUUGUCUCGGACAUUUGUCGGAUCCUUCAUCGGUGUGCAGGGUACGGCGAGUCAUCGGUGCUCUUUUUAGCCGCUUCUUCGCAGCUUUGCUCCGUCGGCGGCGGUGAAUACAAAUGCAGGUGAAGAAUAUGCCUGCUGAUGUACUAUUGAACUUCUGCGCCCUUUCUCUCUGAACCGUCCGUGGCUACGAGACAAACCACAAGGGGCGACACAAUACCUUUUUUAGUAGCCUUGCUAUUUAUAUAUUGACGUGACAGCUGAUUAGAUCAAAGAUCACCAUUAGUUUAGUAGCCUAAAUGUCUAAUGUGUAGCCGUGAACUCCUUUACUAAAUUUACCGGGGCUACACAUUUUCGACUGUCUUGCGCAAGCUGCGUGUCCGAAUACGCUGCGAAUUCUAGCAAGCAAAAAAAAAAAACGCCGCAUGCAAGACUUCAUGCUCAAUGCAUUAUGCAUGCCCGGCGAGACAAACUUUUGGUGUUGGUUGUAGAGUCAGCUCAAGCUGUCCAGCACAACUGCACAAGCUUGCAUAUAACCAUCAGAAAGAUACCAGUUUCGGCACGGAAUCAUUUAGGUCCGGAGUCCGGACAAGAACUCUACACAAUCGAGCAACAAUGGGAUGUCAGUCAAAACUUUGUGGCUGCUAAUUUAUUUUAAGAUGGUUUUGUGUGACUGAUAUAGUACUCGUAGACCAUCAUUUUCUUUGCACAGCCACAGGUUGUUGUUUUCCUCGGGACACUCACUCUUGCAUUUGUUUAAGCACCAAGAUCGGUCAGCAAAAGACUUUCUUCCAAGAAAUGAGACCAGAAUUGCCAAAAUACUCCUACGAGACAGAUUCUAUGAUAGCAUAAUUGCACUUUGCGUCAUCUAAUCAAGAACAGGUUAAUUAACCGGACACCAUUGCUUUGGGUGCGUUCAUUUUGGUUUUUAGAACCGGUUUUUUCUAAAAACUGCCAUCACCUAACUUAUUGAAGAAACCGCAUCACAAAUUUAACUAGACUUCCGAAAUAGUUUAGGUCAAACUAGUUUGGUAGCUUAAUCAUAUUUAGGUAGCGGUUUCUCCAAGAAGCUAUGGUAGGACAGCUUCUCCCGUGGGCAACUACCUAAAGCUCA
rnacentral:lncRNA from 1 species